rnacentral:rRNA from 1 species
AAGACCUUGCACUUUUGGAGCGGCCGAUGUCUGGUUAGCUAGUUGGUGGGGUAAUGGCCUACCAAAGCUUCGAUCAGUAGCUGGUCUGAGAGGACGGCCAGCCACACUGGGACUGAGACACGGCCCAGACUCCUACGGGAGGCAGCAGUGGGGAAUUUUGGACAAUGGGCGCAAGCCUGAUCCAGCCAUGCCGCGUGAGUGAAGAAGGCCUUCGGGUUGUAAAGCUCUUUCAGCCGGGAAGAAAAGGUUGCGAUUAAUAAUCGCAAUUUAUGACGGUACCGGAAGAAGAAGCACCGGCUAACUACGUGCCAGCAGCCGCGGUAAUACGUAGGGUGCGAGCGUUAAUCGGAAUUACUGGGCGUAAAGGGUGCGCAGGCGGUUUUGUAAGUCAGAUGUGAAAUCCCCGGGCUUAACCUGGGAACU